rnacentral:rRNA from 1 species
AUUGAACGCUGGCGGCAUGCUUUACACAUGCAAGUCGAACGGCAGCGCGGGCUUCGGCCUGGCGGCGAGUGGCGAACGGGUGAGUAAUGCAUCGGAACGUGCCCAGUAGUGGGGGAUAGCCCGGCGAAAGCCGGAUUAAUACCGCAUACGACCUGAGGGUGAAAGCGGGGGACCGAAAGGCCUCGCGCUAUUGGAGCGGCCGAUGUCGGAUUAGCUAGUUGGUGGGGUAAAGGCUUACCAAGGCGACGAUCCGUAGCUGGUCUGAGAGGACGACCAGCCACACUGGGACUGAGACACGGCCCAGACCCCUACGGGAGGCAGCAGUGGGGAAUUUUGGACAAUGGGGGUAACCCUGAUCCAGCCAUGCCGCGUGCGGGAAGAAGGCCUUCGGGUUGUAAACCGCUUUUGUUCGGGAAGAAAUCCUCUGGGCUAAUACCCCGGGGGGAUGACGGUACCGGAAGAAUAAGCACCGGCUAACUACGUG